GGCUUGGUGGUCUAGCGGUAUGAUUCUCGCUUAGGGUUCACCCGAAAGCAACAAAUAUGCGAGAGGUCCCGGGUUCAAUCCCCGGCCAAGCCC